UGGAAAAUGUCAGUUAUGACUGAGGCAGAAUGACAUGAGCAGAAUGUAGGUCACUGAAUUUAGCACUUAGGAGGGAAGGAGGAGAGACGAGGUAAUGACCUAGGAAAAAUUCUGAUGUGGAGUGAGUGGAGUGGAGGGGAGAGACAGAGCUGCAGGUCAGCCAGGAUUUCAUAAUAGAAGCCAGUUGCUUCACACUGGUGUGUCGUGUUGUGGCCAGAUUUUUUUUUUUUUUUUAGUUUUGAUUUUCAGUAAUCCCAGAGUUGUGAGAACUCAUGUUACCGGACGUCAUGACUUCAGUCCUCCUGGGGAAGGUAGACAGCAGUACAGCCAGGAGGAAGAUAAGAGACCUAGUAACUACAAGGAAGGCAAUGGGGGUUAAGUGACUUGCCCAGAGUCACACAGCUAGUAAGUGUCAAGUGUCUG